rnacentral:rRNA from 1 species
AUUGAACGCUGGCGGCAGGCCUAACACAUGCAAGUCGAGCGGUAACAUUUCAAAAGCUUGCUUUUGAAGAUGACGAGCGGCGGACGGGUGAGUAAUGGCUGGGAACCUGCCCUAACGAGGGGGAUAACAGUUGGAAACGACUGCUAAUACCGCAUACGCCCUACGGGGGAAAGGAGGGGACCUUCGGGCCUUCCGCGAUUGGAUGAACCUAGGUGGGAUUAGCUAGUUGGUGAGGUAAUGGCUCACCAAGGCGACGAUCCCUAGCUGGUCUGAGAGGAUGAUCAGCCACACUGGAACUGAGACACGGUCCAGACUCCUACGGGAGGCAGCAGUGGGGAAUAUUGCACAAUGGGCGCAAGCCUGAUGCAGCCAUGCCGCGUGUGUGAAGAAGGCCUUCGGGUUGUAAGCACUUUCAGGUGAGGAAGGUGUGUAGUUAAUACUGC